GACGAACGCUGGCGGCGUGCUUAACACAUGCAAGUCGAACGGUAAGGCCCUUCGGGGUACACGAGUGGCGAACGGGUGAGUAACACGUGGGUGAUCUGCCCUGCACUUCGGGAUAAGCCUGGGAAACUGGGUCUAAUACCGGAUAGGACCACUGCCUGCAUGGGUGGUGGUGGAAAGCUUUUGCGGUGUGGGAUGGGCCCGCGGCCUAUCAGCUUGUUGGUGGGGUGAUGGCCUGCCAAGGCGACGACGGGUAGCCGGCCUGGGAGGGUGACCGGCCAGACUGGGACUGGGAUACGGCCCAGACGCCUACGGGAGGCAGCAGUGGGGAAUAUUGCACAAUGGGCGCAAGCCUGAUGCAGCGACGCCGCGUGAGGGAUGACGGCCUUCGGGUUGUAAACCUCUUUCAGCACCGGCGAAGCGCAAGUGGCGGUAGGUGCAGAAGAAGGACCGGCCAACUACGUGCAGCAGCCGCGGUAA
rnacentral:rRNA from 1 species